UCUCAAAGAUUAAGCCAUGCAUGUCUAAGUUCACACCCUCGUACGGUGAAACCGCGAAUGGCUCAUUAAAUCAGUCGAGGUUCCUUAGAUGAUCCAUUUCUACUUGGAUAACUGUGGUAAUUCUAGAGCUAAUACAUGCCCAACAGCUCCGACCCCGGGCUUCACGGUUCGGGGAAAGAGCGCUUUUAUUAGUUCAAAACCAGUCGGGGGUUUCGGCCCUCGUGCUUUGGUGACUCUGGAUAACUUUGAGCCGAUCGCAUGGCCUCGAGCCGGCGACGCAUCUUUCAAAUGUCUGCCCUAUCAAAUGACGACGGUACGUGAUCUGCCUACCGUGUUGACUACGGGUAGCGGGGAAUCAGGGUUCRAUUCCGGAGAGGGAGCAUGAGAAACGGCUACCACAUCCAAGGA
rnacentral:rRNA from 1 species